rnacentral:tRNA from 1 species
AGCUGCCCCACCGUCAACUCCCAAAGCUGAAGUUCUAUUUAAACUAUUCCCUG